rnacentral:rRNA from 1 species
GUCCACAGCCACGCCACCCUGAACACGCCCAGUCUCGUCUGAUCUCAGAAGCUAAGCAGGGUCCGGUCUGCUUAGUACUUGGAUGGGAAACUACCUAGGAAGAACAAGUGCUGUAGACA